AGAUUGAACGCUGGCGGCAGGCCUAACACAUGCAAGUCGAGCGGUAGAGAGGUGCUUGCACCUCUUGAGAGCGGCGGACGGGUGAGUAAUGCCUAGGAAUCUGCCUAGGUGGUGGGGGAUAACGUUCGGAAACGGACGCUAAUACCGCAUACGUCCUACGGGAGAAAGCGGGGGACCUUCGGGCCUCGCGCCAUUAGAUGAGCCUAGGUCGGAUUAGCUAGUUGGUGAGGUAAUGGCUCACCAAGGCGACGAUCCGUAACUGGUCUGAGAGGAUGAUCAGUCACACUGGAACUGAGACACGGUCCAGACUCCUACGGGAGCAGCAGUGGGGAAUA
rnacentral:rRNA from 1 species